rnacentral:rRNA from 1 species
AUUGAACGCUGGCGGCAUGCUUUACACAUGCAAGUCGAACGGCAGCGCGGGCUUCGGCCUGGCGGCGAGUGGCGAACGGGUGAGUAAUGCAUCGGAACGUGCCCAGUAGUGGGGGAUAGCCCGGCGAAAGCCGGAUUAAUACCGCAUACGACCUGAGGGUGAAAGCGGGGGACCGAAAGGCCUCGCGCUAUUGGAGCGGCCGAUGUCGGAUUAGCUAGUUGGUGGGGUAAAGGCUUACCAAGGCGACGAUCCGUAGCUGGUCUGAGAGGACGACCAGCCACACUGGGACUGAGACACGGCCCAGACUCCUACGGGAGGCAGCAGUGGGGAAUUUUGGACAAUGGGGGCAACCCUGAUGCAGCCAUGCCGCGUGCGGGAAGAAGGCCUUCGGGUUGUAAACCGCUUUUGUUCGGGAAGAAAUCCUCUGGGCUAAUACCCCGGGGGGAUGACGGUACCGGAAGAAUAAGCACCGGCUAACUACGUG